rnacentral:tmRNA from 1 species
GGGGGUGAUUAGGUUUCGACAGGGAAUCAGGGUGUGAGUGAUGCAUGCCGGAGAUGCUGUCCACUCCGUUACCAAGCAGCAACAAAAAUUAACUGCAAACUACAAUUACGCAUUAGCAGCAUAGGCUGCUACGUUUAACCCAUCCGAACCGACGGGAUGGGAUUAAGCGUCGGAACAG